rnacentral:rRNA from 1 species
GAUGAACGCUGGCGGCGUGCCUAAUACAUGCAAGUCGAGCGAAAAGACGCGUAGGUUGCUCCUGUGACGUUAACGGGGGACGGGUGCGUAAGACGUGGCUAACCUACGUGUGAGACCGGGAUAACUUCGGGAAACAGGAGCUAAUACCGGAUAAUAUAUUGGCCCGCGAGCGUCAAUCGUGAAAGACGGUUUUGCUGUCAGAUAUGGCUGGAUCCGCGCCGCAUUAGGUAGGUGGAAAGGUAACGGAUUACGAAGGCCACGAGGCGUAGCCGACCUGAGAGGGUGACCGGCCACACUGGAACUGAGACACGGCCCAGACUCCGACGGGAGGCAGCAGUAGGGAAUCUUCCGCAAUGGGCGAAAGCUUGACGCAGCAACGCCGCGUGAGGGAUGAAGGUCUUCGGAUCGUAAAACGCUGUUAUUAGGGAAGAACAAAUGUGCAAGUAACUAGGCAGGUCAUGACGGUACCUAAACAGAAAGCCCCGGCUAACUACGUG